GUCAGCAUAUAAGUGCAGUGAGUAAUAGGAGUAAUAAAGUGAGACUAAUGCUUAAAGAGAAAUGAAGAGUUAUCUAGCUCCAAGGUUUUUAAUACUGUACUGAGCUCUACCAAGGUGCCUAGGGAAAGGCUUGUAAGGGACUUUACCCAGAGGAGCUCUGAUUUUAGAGUUUCUUCCUUAAAUGUUGCCUUCUCUAUGAAACAACCCAUUAGAAGAAAUUGUUACCUUGGGUGAAAAAAAAAAUCUUUUAAAACAUUGAUCUAGUCUAUUUUGCUUCCUCCAGACAGUAGGCACGACUGCAGUGGUGCUUUAUUUUUGCAAAACUUCAUCCCGU